rnacentral:rRNA from 1 species
GAUGAACGCUGGCGGCGUGCCUAAUACAUGCUAGUCGAGCGAACAGAUGAGGAGCUUGCUCCUCUGACGUUAGCGGCGGACGGGUGAGUAACACGUGGAUAACCUACCUAUAAGACUGGGAUAACUUCGGGAAACCGGAGCUAAUACCGGAUAAUAUAUUGAACCGCAUGGUUCAAUAUUGAAAGACGGUUUUGCUGUCCCUUAUAGAUGGAUCCGCGCCGCAUUAGCUAGUUGGUAAGGUAACGGCUUACCAAGGCAACGAUGCGUAGCCGACCUGAGAGGGUGAUCGGCCACACUGGAACUGAGACACGGUCCAGACUCCUACGGGAGGCAGCAGUAGGGAAUCUUCCGCAAUGGGCGAAAGCCUGACGGAGCAACGCCGCGUGAGUGAUGAAGGUCUUCGGAUCGUAAAACUCUGUUAUUAGGGAAGAACAAAUGUGUAAGUAACUAUGCACGUCUUGACGGUACCUAAUCAGAAAGCCACGGCUAACUACGUG